rnacentral:rRNA from 1 species
UACAGAGGGUGCAAGCGUUGUUCGGAAUUAUUGGGCGUAAAGGGCGCGUAGGCGGUGCGGUAAGUCUGUAGUGAAAUCUCUGGGCUCAACUCAGAGUCUGCUGCAGAAACUGCCGUGCUUGAGUGUGGGAGAGGUGAGUGGAAUUCCCGGUGUAGCGGUGAAAUGCGCAGAUAUCGGGAGGAACACCAGUAGCGAAGGCGGCACUCUGGGCCGUGACUGACGCUGAGGAGCGAAAGCGUGGGUAGCAAACAGG